GAUGAACGCUGGCGGCGUGCCUAAUACAUGCAAGUCGAGCGAACAGAUGAGGAGCUUGCUCCUCUGACGUUAGCGGCGGACGGGUGAGUAACACGUGGAUAACCUACCUAUAAGACUGGGAUAACUUCGGGAAACCGGAGCUAAUACCGGAUAAUAUAUUGAACCGCAUGGUUCAAUAGUGAAAGACGGUUUUGCUGUCACUUAUAGAUGGAUCCGCGCCGCAUUAGCUAGUUGGUAAGGUAACGGCUUACCAAGGCAACGAUGCGUAGCCGACCUGAGAGGGUGAUCAGCCACACUGGAACUGAGACACGGUCCAGACUCCUACGGGAGGCAGCAGUAGGGAAUCUUCCGCAAUGGGCCGAAGCCUGACGGAGCAACGCCGCGUGAGUGAUGAAGGUCUUCGGAUCGUAAAACUCUGUUAUUAGGGAAGAACAAAUGUGUAAGUAACUAUGCACGUCUUGACGGUACCUAAUCAGAAAGCCACGGCUAACUACGUG
rnacentral:rRNA from 1 species